rnacentral:tRNA from 1 species
GCGUGUAGCUCAGGCGGUAGAGCACUUGACUUUUAAUCAAGUUGUCCCGGGUUCGAAUCCCGGCAC